AACCUAAACCAGAAAUGGCAUGGUGAAAAAUCGCAGUGAACAAUAAAAAACCCGUUAUCAGGGGCGUUCACUGCGUUAUGUGGGGAAACCUACAUAAGAGCUUCGGCUCU
rnacentral:sRNA from 1 species